GAUGAAGAACGCAGCGAAAUGCGAUAAGUAAUGUGAAUUGCAGAAUUCAGUGAAUCAUCGAAUCUUUGAACGCAUCUUGCGCUCCUUGGUAUUCCGAGGAGCAUGCCUGUUUGAGUGUCAUUUAACUUCUCAACCACAUUGGAUAUUUUUUUUCCGAUGCCGGCUUGGAUGUGGGGGUUGUUUGCAGGCUUUUUGUAACAAAAAAGGUCGGCUCCCCUGAAAUGUAUUAGUGGUAUCUGAGGCUAUUACUAUUAGGUGUGAUAAUUAUCUAUGCCUUUUGGGUAUGCCGCAUGAACAGAUUAUGCUGCUUCUAACGAAAACUAUUUUGAUGAAUUUGACCUCAAAUCAGGUAGGACUACCCGCUGAACUUAAGCAUAUCAAUAAGCGGAGGA
rnacentral:misc_RNA from 1 species